GGCGGAUGUAGCCAAGUGGAUGAAGGCAGU
rnacentral:tRNA from 17 species